rnacentral:rRNA from 1 species
UACGGGGGGAGCAAGCGUUGUUCGGAUUUACUGGGCGUAAAGGGCGCGUAGGCGGCGCAACAAGUCACUUGUGAAAUCUCCGGGCUUAACUCGGAACGGUCAAGUGAUACUGUUGUGCUAGAGUGCGGAAGGGGCAACUGGAAUUCUCGGUGUAGCGGUGAAAUGCGUAGAUAUCGAGAGGAACACCUGCGGCGAAGGCGGGUUGCUGGGCCGACACUGACGCUGAGGAGCGAAAGCCAGGGGAGCAAACGGG